rnacentral:rRNA from 1 species
AGUGAACGCUGGCGGUAGGCCUAACACAUGCAAGUCGAACGGCAGCACAGUAAGAGCUUGCUCUUACGGGUGGCGAGUGGCGGACGGGUGAGGAAUACAUCGGAAUCUACUUUUUCGUGGGGGAUAACGUAGGGAAACUUACGCUAAUACCGCAUACGACCUACGGGUGAAAGCAGGGGAUCUUCGGACCUUGCGCGAUUGAAUGAGCCGAUGUCGGAUUAGCUAGUUGGCGGGGUAAAGGCCCACCAAGGCGACGAUCCGUAGCUGGUCUGAGAGGAUGAUCAGCCACACUGGAGCUGAGACACGGUCCAGACUCCUACGGGAGGCAGCAGUGGGGAAUAUUGGACAAUGGGCGCAAGCCUGAUCCAGCCAUACCGCGUGGGUGAAGAAGGCCUGCGGGUUGCAAAGCCCUUUUGUUGGGAAAGAAAAGCAGCAGGUUAAUACCCCGCUGUUCUGACGGUACCCAAAGAAUAAGCACCGGCUAACUUCGU